rnacentral:rRNA from 1 species
GUCUCCUACGGGACGCAGCAGUGGGGAAUAUUGCACAAUGGGGGAAACCCUGAUGCAGCAACGCCGCGUGAAGGAAGACGGUUUUCGGAUUGUAAACUUCUGUUCUUAGUGAAGAAGAAUGACGGUAGCUAAGGAGCAAGCCACGGCUAACUACGUGCCAGCAGCCGCGGUAAUACGUAGGUGGCAAGCGUUGUCCGGAAUUACUGGGUGUAAAGGGAGCGCAGGCGGGAAGGCAAGUUAGUUGUGAAAUCCCUCGGCUUAACUGAGGAAAUGCAACUAAAACUAUCUUUCUUGAGUGCUGGAGA